rnacentral:lncRNA from 1 species
UUAAUAAUGACGAGUCUUUUUUCUUCUAUACUUGUAGUAAUAAGAUUCUUUAGAUUCAAUGGUGAAUUUGAUCUACUUGUUUCUCUUAAUUGUACAACUUCUUGGCAAAGACUUUCAACUUUAUUAUUGACUUCUUCCAUGGAUGUAGGAAUAAUGCAUCUAUAAUUGACAUUAGAAAUAUAUGAGAUUUCUAUUCUAAGAAUGUUGACAAACUUGUGAAG